rnacentral:lncRNA from 1 species
AGAGUAACGCCAAAAGAAAGCCCGCCCUUUCUAUAGGAAUCUCCCAGGGGAAGAACCACAGCGGCGGGGGGAGCCUGCCUCCUGGAAGAGCGGAGAGACGCGGCUCUUCCUCGCAUGAACGGUCCCUCCCUCCGCCUCGCCAGGGCCGUUCCUGCGGGGGAGGAGGAGAAGCGUCUGCGCCGCGCGAAGCGCUCUGAGGGGGGAGGGAGCGGAAGUAGUCGUAGCCUAGACAACGGGGAGCGACGGGGUCUUGCACAGCCCCUUCCCUCGGCCCUGCAGGGACCUCUCAUGGAAACCAAAAUCUCUGGAUGUUCAAGUUCAGUUUUAUGCCAGUUUCUGUGAAUGAAUAAUCCGUGGAUACGGAGGGCCAACUGUAGUCAUAGAAUAUGUAAUGUAUUCCCACUCUGUAAAAUUAUAUUGUACACUUCUUGUGAUAGAUACCAUAUAUCAUAUUAAUUUUCAAAAUCAACAGCUAUCAAAUCAUUUUUGUAUCCUUAAAAAGUCAGCAAAGAGCUUCAGUCUUUAAAAAAAUCUCUUCUGAUUUUUCUCUAACCAAAUCUGAUAAUUUAUCAAUUUCUGUUAGUUCAUUAUACAGUAGAGUCUCGCUUAUCUAACAUAAACAGGCCGGCAGAACGUUGGAUAAGCGAAUAUGUUGGAUAAUAAGGAGAGAUUAAGGAAAAGCCUAUUAAACAUCAAAUUAGGUUAUGAUUUUACAAAUUAAGCACCAAAACAUCAUGUAUUACAACAAAUUUGACAGAAAAAGUAGUUCAAUACACAGUAAUGCUAUGUAGUAAUUACUGUAUUUACGAAUUUAGCACCAAAAUAUCAUGAUGUAUUGAAAACAUUGACUACAAAAAUGCGUUGGAUAAUCCAGAACGUUGGAUAAGACUCUACUGUAUUUUAAUAACCGUUCUUCCACUGUGGAUAUUAGUAUAUUCUUCCAAUUGUAGGCAUUCGCUAGUCUUGUCUUCCAUGGCUCCUCUUCAUUUGUUGCUUCAUAAAACUCAUAAUAAAGACUUCUGGUUUUAGCUGUGUGCUAGUUUUUAAUAUUCCAUGUCAAAGUAUGUAUUUGAACCCCUGUUUUGAUUUCUUACAAAACAUUCUUUCCACCAUAUGGGAGAAAAUCCCAUCUUGCUCUUAACAUUCCA